rnacentral:lncRNA from 1 species
UUUAAAUCUACGACGCCGGCGUUGGGACAGACCAAGGCGAGGGAGGGGGGGAUCCAGGGGAAGAGACAGGUCACGUGGGCUCUGCCCGGUGGAGCGGGGCGGCUCCUCCCCCGGCGGUGGUACAGCCCGAGGGGGCGUGGCCAGGCGGGCGGGCGGCUUGAAAGGCGGUCAGAGGCCUCGCGUGGCUUGGGGUGUAACGGGAGUUAGUGAUGCUGGCGGUAUUGUCCGGGAGGAGAGGAGCCUCCGAGGAGAGAGGAGCCUCCGAGGAGAGAGGAGCCUCCGAGGGGUGGCAUCGGAGGCCUUUGGGGGUUUUGUGGGCUUUGCGGUAGCGGGAGAGCCGCGGAAGGAUGAUUGAAAAUAGUCAGAGUGCUGCUAUUGAGCUGCAUUGCUUCCCUUGCCCUGCUGUGAGCUGGCUGCACUGAGCAGAGGGAACAUCUGCCCUUCAGGAUGACUUUCUAUGCCCUCUUCUCUGCCUGUCUAUGCAUUAAAUGUUGACCUCCAGUGAUGCUUCGGAUGGUUUCAACUUCUGUUGAAGCGUUUCCCCUUGGAAAGGUUUCUUUCCCAUCCACUUCUCCGUUGGUUGCCGUGGGGAGCAGCGAUGUCACAGUAGAGAAGGGUGCACUCCAUGAACAGCAGCUUCCUGCUGGCCAUGUGAACAGCGUUUUUGCUGGAGGUGUCCAUGUGUGCCCCUGGCUGGGAUUUUGGGUUCCUUGGGUGCCUGCCUACAUGGAAAUAGUGAAUGCCAUGGAGGUUGUUGUGAUUUAUCACAUCCUGAUUGCUGUACAGUGA